GGAAUCUUCCACAAUGGACGCAAGUCUGAUGGAGCAACGCCGCGUGAGUGAAGAAGGUCUUCGGAUCGUAAAACUCUGUUGUUAGAGAAGAACACGAGUGAGAGUAACUGUUCAUUCGAUGACGGUAUCUAACCAGCAAGUCACGGCUAACUACGUUCCAG
rnacentral:rRNA from 1 species